rnacentral:rRNA from 1 species
GGCAUGAACGGUUAAACAAAUAUAUAAGAUUCUACCCCUAGACAAUAAAAUUCCAAUUUAAGUAAAAAUUCUUAAAUAAUUAAGAGGGACGAUAAGACCCUAAAAUUUUUAACUUUAUUUUUGUUUAACUACUUACUUAUAAAUACUAAACCAUCAUUUGUUUCGACUGGGGUAGUCUUUUUACAAAAAUUAAGCUCCUAGCAACGAACCAUCGUGUAAAAGGUCCUUUAAAUAAGGAGAAAAGGAAAAAGUUACUUUAGGGAUAACAGCGUAAUACUUAUAGUGAGACCAUAUCUAUGUAAGUGAUUGCGACCUCGAUGUUGAAUUAAAAAAUCUUUAGAAAGCAAAAAUUUUAAAAGAGGGUUUGUUCAACCCUUAAAAUUUUACAUGAUUU